GGGUCGGUAGCUCAGUUGGCUAGAGCGCGUCCUUGACGUGGACGAGGUCCGGGGUUCGAGCCCCUGUCGACCCACCA
rnacentral:tRNA from 3 species